GUCUGAAUAAAGGCAGGUUGUGGGUAGCUAGAGAGGUAGUCUGAAUAAAGGCAGGUUGUGGAGAGGUAGUCUGAAUAAAGGCAGGUUAUGGGUAGCUAGAGAGGUAGUCUGAAUAAAGGCAGGUUGUGGGUAGCUAGAGAGGUAGUCUGAAUAAAGGCAGGUUGUGGGUAGCUAGAGAGGUAGUCUGAAUAAAGGCAGGUUGUGGAGAGGUAGUCUGAAUAAAGGCAGGUUGUGGGUAGCUAGAGAGGUAGUCUGAAUAAAGGCAGGUUGUGGGUAGCUAGAGAGGUAGUCUGAAUAAAGGCAGGUUGUGGAGAGGUA